rnacentral:rRNA from 1 species
AACGAACGCUGGCGGCAUGCCUAACACAUGCAAGUCGAACGAGACCUUCGGGUCUAGUGGCGCACGUGUGCGUAACGCGUGGGAACCUGCCCUUAGGUUCGGAAUAACUCCCCGAAAGGGGUGCUAAUACCGGAUAAUGUCUUCGGACCAAAGAUUUAUCGCCUUUGGAUGGGCCCGCGUUGGAUUCGCUAGUUGGUAGGGUAAAAGCCUACCAAGGCGACGAUCCAUAGCUGGUCUGAGAGGAUGAUCAGCCACACUGGGACUGAGACACGGCCCAGACUCCUACGGGAGGGAGGAGUGGGGAAUAUUGGACAAUGGGCGAAAGCCUGAUCAAGCAAUGCCGCGUGAGAGAGGAAGGCCUUAGGGUUGUAAAGCUCUUUGACCCGGGAUGAUAAUGACAGUACCGGGAGAAUAAGCUCCGGCUAACUCCGUG